GAUGAACGCUCGCGGCAGGCCUAACACAUGCAAGUCGAGGGAGAAGCCCUUUCGGGGGCAGAAACCGGCGCACGGGUGCGUAACGCGUAUGCAACCUACCUUUCACAGGGGGAUAGCCCGAAGAAAUUUGGAUUAAUACCCCAUAAUAUUAUUGGAUGGCAUCAUUUGAUAAUUAAAACUGCGGUGGUGAAAGAUGGGCAUGCGUCCUAUUAGCUAGUUGGAGUGGUAACGGCACCCCAAGGCUACGAUAGGUAGGGGUCCUGAGAGGGAGAUCCCCCACACUGGUACUGAGACAGGGACCAGACUCCUACGGGAGGCAGCAGUGAGGAAUAUUGGUCAAUGGUCGGAAGACUGAACCAGCCAUGCCGCGUGCAGGAAGAAUGCCUUAUGGGUGGUAAACUGCUUUUAUAUGGGAAGAAUAAGGCGUACGUGUACGUUGAUGACGGUACCAUAUGAAUAAGCAUCGGCUAACUCCGUG
rnacentral:rRNA from 1 species